UCUGACAUUGUACCACAAGGUUCCAUAUCACAAAGGGAAUGCUGGGAUUGAUUUUGGGGGUAAUUGUCUCCAAAUUUUAGGAAUUAGGGGCCAAAAAGGGGCAAAAAACAAGCAUUUUUCUAGUUUCAUGACAAUAACUUGUUUGUAAGUGUAUGGAUCUUUAUGAAAUUGUACUACAAGGUUCCAUAUUACAAAGGGAAGGCUGGGAUUGAUUUUGGGGGUUUUCCCUCAAAAUUUUAGUAAUUAGGGGCCAUAAAAGGGCAAAAAAAACAUGCAUUUUUCUAGUUUCAGGACAAUAACUUGUGUGUAAGUGUAUGGAUCUUUAUGAAAUUGUACUGCAAGGUUCCAUAUCACAAAGGGAAAGCUGGAAUUGAGUUUGGGGGUAAUUGCCCUAAACGUUUAGGAAUUUGGGGCCAAAAAGGGGCCAAAAAACAAGCAUUUUUCUAGUUUCCAGACAAUAACUUGUGUUCAAGUGUAUGAAUCUCUCUGAAAUUGUACUGCAAGGUACCAUACCACAAAGGGAAAGCUGGGAUUGAGUUUGGGGGCGAUGAAUCAUAAGGGGGUUCAAAAAAUUGGGGGGGGGAUUUUUUUUUUCCUUUUUUUUCUUUAACAUUUUCCAUUUUAAAUUGGUUAUUUCUGAUUUAUAUAUAAAAGCAAAUAAUAAUGAUAUGGUUUGAAUAGGCAUACAUGUGAACCUCCCGACGGGAGUACAAUAAUCCCGUUUUCAGGGGUCUCCUCCCCCCCUCCCGUUGAAAAAAUCCCGUGUAUGAAAUUUUUCAUGAAUGCCCAACAUAACAUCUCAGGCAUCUGGUGUAACUGACAUUACCUGAAGUUAUAUUUUACCUGUAAAUCAAUUAACAUGCAUAAUUAUAUGGCUUCACUUGUCAGCUUGGGUGUCAAACAUACUGGUAAGCAACGAUUUUUACCUCAGGCUAACUGCCGUUGUGUAACAAAAACUGUGUAUUUAUUGGGUUACUUCCCUUGAUUUAUCCUGUUUUAAGUUACUUUCCUUUUAAUAAUGAAAAUUUUUAAAAGAAUAUAAAUAAAAUAUAAAUUGAACAAAUAAUCAUAAAAGGAUGGUUAUUAAAUGAUUUUAAAUGUCUUAGGACAAAUAAAAAAAUAGUAAUUUGAAAAUUAUUUGAGGAUUCUAUACUUCCUUUUAAGGCUUAAAUUGAAAUUUAUAUAAUAACUAUGACCCUAACUUUACAGAUAGAAUGAAUUUCUGAGUUUGCAAAUAAAAACUAUUUGCAAGAGAAAAAAAAUAAAAAUAAAAACUAUUUGCAGACAGCUAAACAAAUGUU